rnacentral:rRNA from 1 species
CCUACGGGCGGCAGCAGUGAGGAAUAUUGGUCAAUGGCCGGAAGGCUGAACCAGCCAAGCCGCGUGAAGGACGAAGGUGCCAAGCAUUGUAAACUUCUUUUGUCAAGGGACAAAAUCAGGCUCGAGAGCCUGACCGUGGGUACUUGAAGAAAAAGCAUCGGCUAACUCCGUGCCAUCAGCCGCGGUAAUACGGAGGAUGCGAGCGUUAUCCGGAUUUAUUGGGUUUAACGGGUGCGUGGGGGGGCUGUUAAGUUAGCGGUAAAAACCCGGGGCACAACCCAGGCGGGCCGGUGAAACUGGCUGUCGUGAGAUGUAGAGAGGAAUGCGGAAUGCGCAGUGUAGCGGUGAAAUGCGUAGAUAUUGGGAAGAACUCCGAUAGCGAAGGCAGCAAACCGGCGGCAAUCUGACGCUGAGGUACGAAAGCGUGGGUAGCGAACAGGAUUAGAUACCCUUGUAGUC